GAACGCACAUUGCGCCCCUUGGUAUUCCGAGGGGCAUGCCCGUUCGAGCGUCAUUAUACCCCUCAAGCCUGGCUUGGUGUUGGGGCCUGCUGUUACCGGCAGCCCUUAAAAUCAGUGGCGGUGCCAUCUGGCUCUAAGCGUAGUAAUACUUCUCGCUACAGGGUCCCGGUGGAUGCCUGCCAUCAACCCCUAAUUUUCUAUGGUUGACCUCGGAUCGGGUAGGGAUACCCGCUGAACUUAAG
rnacentral:misc_RNA from 1 species